rnacentral:lncRNA from 1 species
UGAUACUUGUGACGGCUGAAGGCCUGCUGUCAGCAACCAAGAUCUCAGAGGGUUGUUGGUUCUUCUCAGAGAUCUUCUCAAGGUGCUGCGGGAUCAUCUCAGAGACGCUAGACGGUGCUAGCUUAUUGGCAGGGUGCUAGGAGUAAACUUGAAUGCUUUUAGACUACAUGCUAUCUUACAGUGAACUAGAUGCUAUCUUUGAAUGCUUUUAGACUACAACCUGGUAGUUUUAGUUUUUGGACUCGAACAUGAUGGUCAUAAUGUUAGGUCACUUUUAGAUGAUAACUUAGCUAGAUUAUGCAUUUAGCUACUAUAUAUAUGCAUGCUUGUAUGUUGGCUUUAUGUCAAGAAGCUUAAGUUAGUGACAUGAUUAUAUAUGUACUCAUUUGAUAUGGAUGAAUGAGAGUAUGAUUGAUCUGCCAAUUUGUGUAUGUCAUUCAAUAUUGUAUUGGUUCUGAACGUGGG